rnacentral:rRNA from 1 species
UACGGGGGGGGUAAGCGUUGUUCGGAAUUACUGGGCGUAAAGGGCGCGUAGGCGGUGCACCAAGUCAGGCGUGAAAGCCCCGGGCUCAACCCGGGAACGGCGCUUGAGACUGGUGCGCUCGAGUUCGGGAGAGGACGGUGGAAUUCCCAGUGUAGAGGUGAAAUUCGUAGAUAUUGGGAAGAACACCGAUGGCGAAGGCAGCCGUCUGGACCGACACUGACGCUGAGGCGCGAAAGCGUGGGGAGCAAACAGG